rnacentral:tRNA from 5 species
GGGUGACUAGCUCAACGGUAGAGCACUGGACUCUUAAUCCAUUGGCUCAGGGUUCGAAUCCCUGGUCACCCA